UUAGUGCAAACAUCCCUGACCGUUGACCCGACAGUCCUCAUGUUCCUGAACAGGUUUUAUUUUCACACAUUUGUUGUACUGUGUUGAAACUUCGUGCCCGUUAGACGUGAGCCUUUGCUUUGCAUGAGAAAAAUKCUUUGGAAAACAAACAUGUUUCAGCCGGACUGGGUGGAAAGUCUCCUUGUUUUCUGUGUUUAUGUGAUGGUCUAAUUGAAAGUAAAGCARAGCUCAUUGGUCCGGAUCGAGGUGUAAAUUCUCUUUGGUUGCAGCACACAGUUCGUUUGUUGAUGACUUCCUGUUUGUCCUGGAGUCCUGUUUGUUCCAGUCAGACAGUCUGGUGUUUGUUUUCUGCCUGUCAGAUGAAGGUUGAAGCAGAGUGUGGAAGUGACAGAUCUUCGACUGCGUGGGGGGUGGGGGGCUCCCUGAGAAGAAUGCRUCUCCUCCUGAAGUGUCACCUCCUUACAGAAAAACCUGUUAGAUUAUGUUACAUCCAAACAUGUCGUCUGUGAGACACUGGGCUGGAAAUGUCUCCCCGGGGAGCAAUCAGUCUGACUCCAGCUUUUUAAAAAAAAGCCUCCUCCUCUCCUCAUUUUUCAGUCCUGAAAUUGGUGGAACUCUUGGCGUGUAUCGUUUGCUUACCUCGCACAGCUCAGUUACUCUGAUUAGAAAUCAAUUAACGUUUUCCUGUUGGCUGAACUUUGUAAUUCUACUCCAGUCCAAAUAAAUCACUGGUUGCUUCUUGGAAAAGAUUCAGCAGGAGUCGUCUGGUGAGCUUCAGAGGAGAGAGUAAAAACCGAGUACAGAAGAACGGCUCAAUAUGAAGCAGAAAUAAACAUUUGAGUACAAAGUUAUCUCCACGCUGGAUGAUGACUCUGAUUUACUGGAGAACCUCCAUGAUGCUGCUGCGCUCUAUGUUCUGUCUCCUGCAGAGGCUGAACUCUGGACCAGAGACUCAUCUCAUGUUUUCUGCUGCACUUCUCAGAAAAUCACCAUCAAACCAUCGUUGGAGGUUCUUCACCAAUCCGACAAAACUCCUUUCUUUGAGUGGUGUCCACCAACUCGGAGCGAAGGAGGCGGAGUUCGGCCGCUGUAAUAAAAGAAAGCUGGCAGGAAAAUGUGACAGAUGUGGAGGCCUGUGCCAAUGAGAAAAGCGAGAGUAAGACUGUCAGACAUGUCGACUCCGGCGCAGUGAUGGAUGGAGAGUGAGAAUCCGGUUYAAAAUCCUGGUCCUCACCUUCAGAGCUCUUCAUGGCCAACACCUGGACACAUUACGUCUCAUUUCCCCUUACAACCCCAGAGGAGACCUCCGCUCACAGGAUCAACAUCUCAUUAUGGUUCCCCUCACUCACUUUAAGACCCCUGGUGACCGGUCCUUCUCCUCUGUGGCCCCCAGGCUCUGGAAUGAACUCCCUGUUAAUCUGUGCUCCCUUGAUAACAUCGUCUCUUUCAAGUCACUCCUAAAAACUCACUUUUUCACUCGUUUAGCUAACCAUUUCACCAUUACUGCCAGCCUACCUCCAGUGUAAACGCUCAUCAAUGUGUGUUUUUAAUUAUUGAACUUAGACCAUAUUUUUCUAUCUCGUAUUCAUUAUGUUUUUGUGUAUUAAUGUAUACUUUGAACUGCAUUGACCUUGUGUUUGA